AUGUCAGUGUCCAUGGUACUCUGGACUACACUGGCUACACCUCCACCGCAGCGCCCGGUUCCUGACCUCGAACUCAUCACAACAACUCCCACGAGUUGUUGGUUAAAAAGCUAUGUCGAGGUUGCCUACGUGUUGACACCAGUGCCCAGAGCAAAUCUGACAAUGGGUCUGAAUGCACAAGGACAGGUGAUCCGGCCAGUACCAUGGCCUUCGUUCUUCAGCAAGCAUAUCAAUACAGCUCAGGGCAAUAUUGCCGAGUCGCCAUCAAGCGCCGCAACUGUGUCGAGCAGGUAUGUGGUUCGUUGUUCGACCUUGCCACCAGUCCAUGUCAAGGUGAAUCUGGGGUGUGUCCGAAUGUUGCUGGAGUCAGCUGCAGGAAAGUCACAGUUACUAGACCUCUUGUGCGAGUUUCUGAUAGCUUCAGGUUCAGACAUAAAAUCAGGUUCCAUAAAUAUGGUACUAGCAGCACGUGAGGCAUGCAAGACUAAUUGGUAUAUGGCUCACGUAGUUGACAUUUUGUCCAUGGGUGCACAACAUUUUUCACUUCUUUUAGUUAGCUCAUGGCGACAAGGUCACUUGCAGAUGGAUGAUGUGUUCCAGAUGCUUAAGAAAUGGUGCCCACAUAACCAAUAUGUGCAGCUGGCCUGUACAAUUUAUGAAGCUCACAACGAGUUCCAUGCUACCAGCGAGGUUUUGACUUCGGUGCUUAAUUGGGAAGCUGCACUUUUGCCCACAGACUUCCUAUUCGACAAGUACACUGAGCUGAUGAAUGUUGAAUGGCAUUUUUGUCUGGUGCAACCAGUUCAUGUUUAUUGUCCUCUACCUCUGGCUGGACCUCCUGAUUGUGGCGACGGAUGUGAAACUAUGCUCAAUUCUUCUCGGUUCACCUUAAGAGGAGUUAAAGGUAUCUCUCAUGAGUUUGCUAGUGCAACUGAAUAUUCUUGCUACACCAUAAUUAGUAGUACAUGGUGGGUAUUAUUGGUGACUAUGAAAAUUAUGAUGGGAGGCACCGAUGAUAUGACGAGCAGCCUGAGUGUGGAUGGUUUGAUUGGCAAACCUGGGUUGUCAGCUGUCCCAUGGGUACAACUACAACGACCUAAUUACUGGGAAACGAAAUCGGGGUCUGUGCAACAAAUAAUCAGGGAGGCACCGAUGACAUUUCAAGCUGAGGCCCUCCUGGAUGUUACUCAACCUGGUGAACCUGUUAACAAAAGAAGAGUACCAUCACUGCAUACAGAAGGAAGAGAAUUGUUUGCCGGAGUUCCUCAGCCCAUUAUUCACUUUCACUUGCCAUUGCAUAUAUGGGUUCCGGUGUUUCUAGUCCCCAGCUCGUCUGACAUCCUUGCUGGCUUACAGUGCAACUCCGAGCAACUCUUGACUGCUCCCCUAUAUCAUUUUGAACAAUUCCAUUGGAUAAUUGCACAGGCAUUCUUUAAUGGUAUCAAGGGCAGUGUGGUCACCAACAUUUUUGAGACUUUGUACAAUCCUUGUGCUGCUCCAGUGCGAGAAGGUGUUCCUACUUAUUUGGACUAUUUUGCUGUUGCUGCUUGUUCUACUGGUUUGCAAGCAAGUGCAAGUACGUGGCAGUUAGUGCUCAAGGAUAUCUGGCAUGUUCAUUACCUUGGUACUGUGAUUGAGUGGAUGUUGUGCUUAUUCAUUCCUGUGGUGAGAUGCUCUCUUGGUCAUGGACCAAAUUUUAUUAUCUCCGGAACUAUGCCCACAGCAUUGCCAGUUCAAGAGGAACCACAACUGAAAUACUUCUGCCAAUUCUUGUGUGGGCUAAGGUUGUGGAAUCCGGGUAUAAGGGGUGCAUCUAAAACUUGUACAAAGCAAUUUGGUAUUCACAACAACUCCAUGUCACCACAUGCUGCUGUUGCAGGUAAAUUGCAAAAUUGCACAGUUCUUAUUUACACUCGAUGGAGCUCUAUGAUAGGAGAUUCAGGUUCAACCUUUGCAAUUAAAAAUGUGGAACAGAGGGUGCUUCCUAAAGUAACAAGUUCAGCUAGCAGAUUAUGGGACCCAGGAAUCUUUGAUGUUCAUUGCCUCGGCACUAUUAAGCUGUUUUCGACCACAUGGGUGUCUUGCUUAUUUGUUCCUGUUGUGAAAGAUUUUCUUGGUCAUGGACUGGAGCUUUCUGCUACAACACAGUGGGAUCCUAGAGUCUUGAAUCUUCAUGGCCGGGCAAUUACUAAAUGA
rnacentral:rRNA from 1 species